rnacentral:lncRNA from 1 species
CUGGCAUAGUUUUCAUUAAGUUCCUCUUUCUUGGAAAUUUUGUUUAGAGAAAUUAGAAGAACAUGCAUCUAGGAGCUAGUAGUCUAAUUUCCUUCCUUUGAGCGAUCAAGCUGCAGCCACAGUCAUUGUGAUUCUGAAGACUAAACUUUAUAGAUGAGGAAACUGAGGCCCAGAGAGAUCACACAGCUACUAAGUCAAGGAGCUGGGACAGGCGUGGGUGCUGAAAAGUGAUUGAUACUGAUAGUAAAAUUGAGGAAGACAUGAUGUUUUUGUAAUUUGAGAAAAAUCACUGAAGAAUAAACUAUAUGAAGUCAUUGAUGCCAAAUUCCCAGCCCCAGCCUUUGCAGCUGCCCCGCCUGGGGUUCGUCUCUAUGGGAAGGAGUCUUUGCCGUGGACAGAGGCCGUGAUGACGAAGGUCAGGCUUAGAGAUCCAGGAAGUUGAGACAUGGAAAGCAGGAGUGGAGCAAGGAGAUUCUGGAAGAGCUGCUAUUUUAUUGCCUUGACGUGUGGAUGAACUGCUUAACCUCUCUACAAUGGGUGGCAAAAAUCAUGACAUUUCACACACUCCGCCCCAGUGGAACCCAUCUUCCUCUGCUGUCUAACUGAAGAACUAGCAAUGCCUUCCAAAGCUAAAGGAAACUCCAGCUCCAUGCAACAGAUGGUGCCAAGUGAUAGAAAGAAAACAGUGGGAAGAAUACCUGGUAUAUAGCAGAAAACUGGAGCUUCAACAUGGUGGCAUACAGAGAUAAAAGAAGCUGAAGGGAGUAGACAAAUAAAAAGGUAAACCCUUUUCCUUUUGUAUUAGGUUUUGUAGAAAUGAUUUUGAAGAUUUUUUUUUUUGCUUCUCUUUGCUCUAUACUUUGUAUAGUCAAAGCCAAGCCAUGUUUGAAAUGUUCCCUAGAAACACACGCAUGUGACUAAAAUAGAUUCCCUGCAGAUUUACCUAAUUUUAGUGAGGGCCUGUUACAUACAAUGAACUCUGCUGGGCAAUUUCACUUACAUUUUCUCAGAUGAAGAAGUUAGACCAUAAAUGUGGUAGGGUUGGCAAAGACAUGGUGAAUGGGUAAGAACGUUUCAGGACCAUGACUGAAUGAACAUGUAUCUCCUCCUCACACCUGACCCUGGGGAAGACUCUGUG